CGUGUCUGGGAAUACAUCAAAGGAGGUUUGAUAUUCAUAACUGCUGUGAGUCAUUUUCACAUGGAGCUGUGGGGAGCUGCCUUCACCAUGGCAUGCUGUAUUCAGCCCUUUGUAAGAGCAGCUGAGCUGAACCAAUCCCCCAUUAUGGGCGAGAGUCGAUCCCUCCUGGGAGACCUGGAUUUGCCCCCAGACCCCUGUGCAGAAUAAAAUGGGUCUUUUUAUUGAGAAAUAGUUAUUAAAACAUCCUCCGGUCUUGCCCGUACAUCUCCACCGCCCACCGAGACAGCUCUGCGUGGUCUCUUCCACAAGAGUGUGGCCACCUCCAGGCCCUGCUGUUAGUGUCAGUAACAUCUGAAACUUCCCCGUUUCUCUUGCUCUGAGGACAAAGAACAUCAACAAGACUCCAACCACGACCACAUUUCUUCUCAACUGGAGGAGGAAAUGCUGCUUGCUCCUGUUGAGUGUGGCUAUUGUUGGAAAAAGCAUCAUGUGUGACACUCUUUGAGGGCUGGCAGAGGCUUGUGAAAUUAAAGCCACAGGAUCGCAGAGCUGGAAGGGGCCUUAGUCAUCAUCCAGUACCAGCCCCUCAAAUUACAGAUGAGAAAAUGAGGCACGGAGAGGGGAUUUGAUUGCAUUGCCAUUCCACAAGACAUCACAUGGAUCCACUACGUUGAUGGACCAACUGCUUUAGACACCUUGAAGUUUUGGAGAACGUGUUUUAGCAAAAGAAAGGAUUAAACCAAGAGAUGAAGAUAUUUGAGAUUCAAGAUGCAAGAUGGCAAAAAUGGCCCUACAAUAAGAAUAUCUCCACUCAUUGAUAUAAAUAAGUAUCUGGACCAUAUGUAUAUUAACUACUGUAGUCAGUGCUUUGGGAGGAAGGACACCUGAGGAGAAAAUGAAGAAUAUUAGAAGAACUAAAAGACAUUAUAGUCAAAGGUGCUCCCCUUGGGCCAAAACCAACUAAUGCAGACAAGAGAGUCUGUUGAUGCAGUUCCUACAGUUCAGCCACCUGGGGCACAGAGCAGGGUGCAGAAGGAUGGAGAGAGGACCCGGAAAAGCAAACAGGAGAUACUAAACACACAGUGCAAGGUUAACCUCCAAUACACAGGAGUGUAAACCAUAUGAGCCUUUCUCAGUUAUGGAUUGCUAGGUAAAUAUGCUGUGACAGCCAAGUUACAUUCCCCGAGAGUGUCAGGCUGGUGGAAAAUAUCACUGAAAUUCAUGAGGCCGCUUGAAUGUUUCUCCUUAAAUGGUGAAAAUUCUCCUGCUCUGAUCUGAAACUGGGGGAUCAGCUGUGCUCAGUGACGUCACUGCUCCAGACCAGGAAAUGUAUGGCAGCAUAAUCUUUAGCUUUACCGAACACUUCCCAUCUGCCUGACACUGUGCCAAGAGCAUUGAGGAAUGUUGAAGUAUACAAGGCAAAAUUCUGUCCUCCUAGAGACUAGAGUAAGAAGCAAGAUCGGUACCUUGAAACAAUACCAAAUGCUUACAAAGGAUUUAAGCCCCUUUGAGCCUCAAACACAAGGCUAACUGGAGCAGAGAAUUGAAGAUACUGACCCUUGCUGGCCUUCGUGACUUCAAUCAACUAGGACCUGGACUCUGCCGUCUUAGGAUGGCUUGUGUCACAAUUCUAUACCGAACUCUCCUUUGUCAAGCCCCUUCGUGAAUAUGCAGAGAGUCAUGCUUUGGAAAUUAUUCCCUGUGACCUCCUUUUUUGCUGCAAAAAAUUAUUAUUUUUUUUG